rnacentral:rRNA from 1 species
GACGAACGCUGGCGGCGUGCCUAAUACAUGCAAGUUGAGCGAUGAAGCUUGGUGCUUGCACCAAUUUGAAGAGCAGCGAACGGGUGAGUAACGCGUGGGGAAUCUGCCUUUGAGCGGGGGACAACAUUUGGAAACGAAUGCUAAUACCGCAUAACAACUUUAAACAUAAGUUUUAAGUUUGAAAGAUGCAAUUGAAUCACUCAAAGAUGAUCCCGCGUUGUAUUAGCUAGUUGGUGAGGUAAAGGCUCACCAAGGCGAUGAUACAUAGCCGACCUGAGAGGGUGAUCGGCCACAUUGGGACUGAGACACGGCCCAAACUCCUACGGGAGGCAGCAGUAGGGAAUCUUCGGCAAUGGACGAAAGUCUGACCGAGAAACGCCGCGUGAGUGAAGAAGGGGUUCGGAUCGUAAAACUCUGUUGGUAGAGAAGAACGUUGGUGAGAGUGGAAAGCUCAUCAAGUGACGGUAACUACCCAGAAAGGGACGGCUAACUACGUG